rfam:Brassica oleracea var. oleracea cultivar TO1000 chromosome C2, whole genome shotgun sequence
GGAAGUUAAGAAAAUGUUUCUUAACUUUUAACUAAAAAAGCUAAGAACCGGUUCUUAAAUAAGGACUUUAAGAACCGGUUCAUUUAAGAACCGGUUCUUAGCUAUUUUAGUUAAAAGUUAAGAAACAGUUUCUUAACUUCC